GGAGCAUGGCAGGUAACAGUACAUGGGAUUGCAAAGAGUCAGACACGACUGAGUGACAAACACUUACUUUCCACACUUACUAGCAAAAAGGUUACCAAGAAAAACAGUGAGUUCAUUUUCACAUGAAUCAGUUUGAACUGAUGGAUUAGAGAGUAAAGAAUCCACCUGCAAUGCAGGAGACGCAGGUUUGAUCCCUGCAUCAAAAAGAUCCCCUGGAGAAGAAAAUGGCAACCCUCCCCAAUACUCUUGCCUGGAGAAUCCCAUGGACAGAGGAGCCUGGUGGGCUACAGUCCAUGGGGUCUCAAAGAGUCGGACAGGACUGAGCAGCUAAACAACUUGACAUUAACAUCGUGCUCCAUGCUGCUCCAUGCUGCAUGCAUAGAAAUGAUCAUUCCAGUCAGAUGAGAACACAGAGAUGCAGGAAAUGAAGUCUGUGCUCUGGAAGAAUCUGUGUGAAUGAAUCCUGGAACUGGACUCGACUGUGCAGACAUCAUCUUAUCAACCACAAGCAAGCCUGGGGACUGGAGAUCAUGACUCUAUGAGGAGAAAAUUAUUAUAUGAACCACAGCACUUGCAUGCUAGGUCGCUUCUGUCAGGUCUGACUCUGCAACACUAUGGACUAUAGCCCACUAGGAUCCUCUGUUCAUGGGAUUCUCCAG
ensembl:lncRNA